AGUGAGCGCUGGCGGUAGGCCUAACACAUGCAAGUCGAACGGCAGCACAGUAAGAGCUUGCUCUUACGGGUGGCGAGUGGCGGACGGGUGAGGAAUACAUCGGAAUCUACUUUUUCGUGGGGGAUAACGUAGGGAAACUUACGCUAAUACCGCAUACGACCUACGGGUGAAAGCAGGGGAUCUUCGGACCUUGCGCGAUUGAAUGAGCCGAUGUCGGAUUAGCUAGUUGGCGGGGUAAAGGCCAACCAAGGCGACGAUCCGUAGCUGGUCUGAGAGGAUGAUCAGCCACACUGGAACUGAGACACGGUCCAGACUCCUACGGGAGGCAGCAGUGGGGAAUAUUGGACAAUGGGCGAAAGCCUGAUCCAGCCAUACCGCGUGGGUGAAGAAGGCCUUCGGGUUGUAAAGCCCUUUUGUUGGGAAAGAAAAGCAGCAGGUUAAUACCCCGCUGUUCUGACGGUACCCGAAGAAUAAGCACCGGCUAACUUCGUG
rnacentral:rRNA from 1 species